rnacentral:misc_RNA from 1 species
UUACUUUUACAAAGAGAGCUUUAAAAAUUACAACAUAUAGCGCUAGACACGGUUUAAUAGCAAAUACACUAUGGACUUAUAUUAUCAUUUUUUUAAUAAUAGCAAAUAAUUAAACUGCAAAUCCAUCUUCUUCUUUUGAUUACUUUCUCCUGUAAUCCCACUUCUCUCUAAUUUUUUUUGGCAUUACUGCUAAUCGCCGCUGAGAGGGGAUUGGAUCUG